rnacentral:rRNA from 1 species
CCCCAUACUCCUUCUUACUCUGAGGUAAGUCGGGAAAACUCCGGUGCCAAGGGAUGGGGCUGUAUCCUAUCACCUUGUUGGUGAGGUAAUGGCUCACCAAGGCAAUGACGGGUAGCUGGUCUGAGAGGAUGAUCAGCCACACUGGAACUGAGACACGGUCCAGACUCCUACGGGAGGCACCAGUGGGGAAUAUUGCACAAUGGGGGAAACCCUGAUGCAGCAACCCCGCGUGGAGGAUGACGCAUUUCGGUGUGUAAACUCCUUUUAUAGGGGAAGAUAAUGACGGUACCCUAUGAAUAAGCACCGGCUAACUCCGUGCC